rnacentral:rRNA from 1 species
AUUGAACGCUGGCGGCAGGCCUAACACAUGCAAGUCGAGCGGAAACGAUGGGUGCUUGCACCCAGGCGUCGAGCGGCGGACGGGUGAGUAACGCGUGAGAAUCUGCCCAUUUGUGGGGGAUAACUCGGGGAAACUCGAGCUAAUACCGCAUAAUCCCUACGGGGGAAAGCAGGGGACCUUCGGGCCUUGUGCAGAUGGAUGAGCUCGCGUCGGAUUAGCUAGUUGGUGGGGUAAAGGCCUACCAAGGCGACGAUCCGUAGCUGGUCUGAGAGGAUGAUCAGCCACACCGGGACUGAGACACGGCCCGGACUCCUACGGGAGGCAGCAGUGGGGAAUCUUGGACAAUGGGGGCAACCCUGAUCCAGCCAUGCCGCGUGUGUGAAGAAGGCCCUAGGGUUGUAAAGCACUUUCAGCAGGGAGGAAGGCUUACUGUUAAUACCGGUGAGUACUUGACGUUACCUGCAGAAGAAGCACCGGCUAAUUUCGUGCCAGCCGCCGCCGUAACAC